GGAAGGGUCGCAUAGUUGGUCUAGUGCGGAGGUCUUGAAAACCUCUAUGGCCGAAAGGUCAUCGCGAGUUCGAAUCUCGCCCCUUCCG
rnacentral:tRNA from 1 species